ensembl:lncRNA
AAGAAGACCAAUGGGAGCAAACCUGGAGAUGAGUGCUGCAAUCCAUCCAUGUGGAUGGAUGGAUUUCAGUGUUGAGUCCUUUGUGCCAGAGCUUCCCACUGCAUUUCAGACCUGGUUACAGGAAACUUGUCUGAUGGAGGAAAACAAAGUUCUGUUUCCCUUCCCAUUCCUCCUGACUCUAAGCAGCAUCACACCAUGUUCUUCCUGCCUGGCUGACACAAGAGCAAUGCCAGUACGGGCCAGUGCUAAAAGACCAGAUCUCUUAAGGGAUGCAAAGAACUUGGAAACUGUGCUGAUGGACAUCGUAGACACAGAAAGUGGUAAGAUAUGAGUUGGAGAUAAAUUUGUUUUCUAUAAAUGAAAGUUAGGAAAAGUUCACUGUGUUCUUCAACCACGUAGAAGUUGGGGGAACUGGGGCUGUUUUCUCCUUGUGUUUAUGCAUUAAAAUACAGCCUUUAAUGCUAUUAUCAUACGUUCAUUUUCUCAUAUGACCAGAUAAGGGGAACUCUUACAGUGAGGAAAGAAACAACAUAUAAGGCCAGAAGGCCUCUGGAGUUGCAGAGAUAUUAAAUAGAUCCCAUACAUCAGUUGUUUGUUGGUCUGCCUAGUGACAGGCCACUGUUUAUCUUAUGAUAAAAUAGCAUGUUAGGGAAAUGUCUCUCUCAACUGCAUUUCUAUAGGAAAUGUUUUUGUAGAAAGAAAAUAGAAGGAAAAGGUAAGAUGAGAAAAGUAAGGGAAAAAAAAAAAAAAGUAACUUGAGAAAUUCAGGGGCAAUAAAUCACCACACCAGAUGGUAUUCAUCUGUGAAUUCUGUGCAGAGCUAUCAGUUUUAAAAAAAAUUGCACGGGAAUGUGCCAUUAAGAUGCAGGCAUACUGUCUGCCUGCGUUCAUUACCCAUCUCUGUGGUGUCCCAGCACAUACCAGGGGCCUGGGAGUGACAUGCCAGCACCUCUGGGUGCCUCCAGAGCCUACCUGGUAGCCCCACCGUGGCCUUUGAAAAUGUGGAAAAUUUCACUCAGCUGAUGAUGUGUGUAUUUGCUUACCGAUUUCCUUCACGGUUGUGAGGAAGUGCAACUGAAUAGGUGGAUUCUGAAUAGCACUUUUAAAAUCCAUCAAAUGCUGAUGUACUUCUGUUGUUCUGCCAAUUUUUAUUCCCUCAGAGAUUAAUACUUUGUGUCAAGCUCACAUGCCUUUCAUCCUAGGCUUUAGAUGGCUUUUGGAUGUGUUUGCCCCAUAUGUGGAUGAAGAGAAAGCCCAUGAUACAACUAGAUAUGGUUUGGAGAUCAGGAGAUGUCUCCUUUUGACAUCAAACCCAUCCUCAUCAUCCUGAGCAGGGCUUUAUUUCCAUGUCUGGGGGGCAGUGAAUGGAAAAAUGGCUUGUCUCAAUCCAGUCUUGGGUCUACCAGAUAAGAACCCAGCAAGAGAGAGCACCCGCAGCUGACUGCUGGGCACUGCCUGCUCUCUCAGGGGAAAGUGUUAUAUAGGAUGCAGCUAGGAAAUGGUAAGAGGGUGUCACCAGCAUGCCAUCUGCAGAGCUAAGUCCUGGCUUUAUCUGACUCAGGUGGUUGUGGAGCCUUCUCUGGAGAGACACAAAACCUGCCUGGGUGCUUUCCUGUGUAAGCUACUUCAGAGAACUUGCUUUAGUAGGUGGGUUGGGCUUGGUGAUCCCUAGAGGUCCCAUCCAAC